rnacentral:rRNA from 1 species
AUUGAACGCUGGCGGCAGGCCUAACACAUGCAAGUCGAGCGGAGCGGCGGACGGGUGAGUAAUGCCUAGGAAUCUGCCUGGUAGUGGGGGAUAAAGUCCGGAAACGGGCGCUAAUACCGCAUACUAUCAGAUGAGCCUAGGUCGGAUUAGCUAGUUGGGGGGGUAAAGGCAUACCAAGGCGACGCUCCGUAACUGGGCUGCGAGGAUGAUCAGUCAAAUGGGAACUGAGACACGGUCCAGAUUCCGACGGGGGGCAGCAGUGGGGAAUAUUGGACAAUGGGCGAAAGCCUGUGCCAGCCGUGCCGCGUGUGUGAAGAAGGGCUUCGGAUUGUAAAGCACUUUAAGUUGGGCGGGGUUACCAACAGAAUAAGCACCGGCUAACUUCGUGCCAGCAGCCGCGGUAAUUC